rnacentral:siRNA from 1 species
CAUCAUUUGAAAGCCCACUAGU